rnacentral:snoRNA from 1 species
GGUGAACGGUGUGCACAGUGCUGGUCUGUGUUACGUGUUGUUGUUGGGCUGCGUUUUGCGGUCUCGGCUACAGCGCUCACUCCCCACCUGCAGCCAUAGAACAAGCGGGGAUCAUAGUACUGGCCUUUGAGGUCUUCACAGACGCCUCAUCAUCGGCCAGCCUCCAAACUCUCCAACAAAA